rnacentral:lncRNA from 1 species
UAAAAUGAAAACCUAUCAUUUCUUAAUCUUUUUCAAAUAAAUACAAUCUUCAAUAGUUAUGGUUCAAUACUGGAUCUUAUAUUAUCCAAUUCUAAUUCUCAUUCUAUAUCUUUAAAUAAGGAUUCUAUAGUUCCAGUAGAUAAUUAUCACCCUCCUAUUAAUGUCAGCUACUCUCAGUUCGACACUCCCUCUCCGCUAUCUUUUUCUGAAGAAACCUAUGAUUGGUAUAAGGGAGAUUAUAUUAAUAUUUUAUCUUUCCUUGGUUCAAUAAACUGGAACGAAUUUUUCAAUAUUAGUAAUGAUAUUACAACCAUUACAAAAGAAUUUUAUUCCCUCCUAUUCUAUGCAAUAGACACUUUUAUUCCUAAAAAAAGAUACUGCAAAUCUAAAUUCCCAUGUUGGUUCUCUAAAGACUUAAUAAAUCUAAUCAAAUUAAAAAAAUUCCAACAUUCAAUAUUUAAGUUAUCUAACUCACAUGAUGANAUACAUCAAAGGCACCCCAAAAAUUAUCAAUUCAAAAAACUAAUUUCCAUUCACAAUAUAUUCAACUGCUACUACCAAAAUGUAAGAGGUCUUAAUACUAAAUUAAAACUAUUAAAAACCAAUAUUGAAAAUAUUAAAAAAUCAUCUGGUCUUCCUAAUACAAUGUCAUUCAACCAUAAAUCAGCUGAUAAUGGUCAAGAAAUUGUUAACUUAUUUAGUCAAUACUUCUCUUCGGUUUAUAAAGUAACAGCUCCUAUUAAUAUUAAUUUUCAAUCUAAUAUAGUUCAAUCAAUUGAUUCGUUAAACUCACUUCACAUCGAACUCCUAGAAGUUUUCAAUGAAUUAAAUAUUCUAUCUUACAAAAAUUCAAUUGGUCCUGAUAGUCCCUCUCCUAUAUUUUUAUUUAACUGCAGAUUUAUACUUUCUCCACCUAUCACAUAUCUCGUUAAUUUUUGUUUAAAUAGUGGCUCAUUUCCAUCAUCUUGGAAAUCCACUUAUAUUAAUCCAAUUCUUAAAAAAAGUAAUAAAUCAUUUAUCUCAAACUACCGUCCUAUAUCGAUAAUUUCUAUUCUCCCAAAAAUAUUUUAUAAAAUAAUAAAUAAUAAGCUCACACCCAUAUUUAAACAUAUUUUAGCACCACAACAACAUGGAUUUCGCAAUAAAAAGUCAUGUCUUACCAAAUUAAUAACUAUUAAACAUCAUAUAAUUAAAUCUUUUUCUAAAAAUAAUCUUUAUUAAUCAGUAAACUACAGGAAAUCGGCUUUGCCAAUCCCCUAUUAUCAUGGUUUAACUCAUUCCUAAGUCAUAGAAUCCAAUUUGUCAAAUAUAAAAACUUUAUAUCGACACCUAAACGUAAUUUCUGGUGUCCCUCAAGGCGAUCACCUUUCCCCUCUCCUUUUUAAUUUAUUUAUAAAUGAUGCUGUAUCAUCCAUUUCACACUCCAACAUUUUAUUAUUUGCCGACGAUGCAAAAAUUUACAAAUCUAUUACUUCCCCCGAUGAUAUUAAACUUCUUCAAAGUGAUUUAGCUUCAUUUAACGAAUGGUGCAUUUCAAAUAGUCUUUCAUUAAAUAUUGAUAAAUGCCAAAUUGUUACCUACUCCAAAAAGCACAAUCCCUUACAUUUUAAUUAUCAUAUAUGUGACAUUAACCUACAUCGUUCGUCAUUAUUUAAAGAUUUAGGGAUUUUAUUUGAUUCCAAACUAUUAUUCAAUGAUCAUGUAUCAGCGAUUAAAAAUAAAGCAUUAUCUGUAUUUGGUAUGAUAAAAAGAAACUGCUCCGAUUUUCGUGAUCCACUUGCUCUCAAAUGCCUUUAUACCUCACUAGUCCGUUCUUUAUUAGAAUACGCUCCAAUAAUUUGGAAUCACAACAAUGUAGG